AGAAAAUGAUUUACAAGGCCUUAUGGGCUACCAAACUUUGAGCUGAUUGGAGUUAUGUUAAGAACUUGUACAGGCUUCAAACAACUCCGUUAUGUGCUAUAUGAAUGGGGAAAAAAUGCAUUGAAAUUUUAGAUUCAAUGGGGAGAAAGUUCUGUAUGGGGAGGAAUGCCUGAGGCUCUUAGUUGCUGUGUACUGCUGGUAAGGAUGAAAUUUACAAUAGCUGAAGCCUGAAGGUCUUAAAGAGCGUGGGCUAUUGAGAUUAUUAUCGAUUUCCGGAAUCAUACUUGUGGAUGAUAGGUAUUGCUCUAAAUAUAAUUCCGGGGAAUCAUAGCAUGAGACAACAUCAUGCAUCGAAGUUAAGAGUUCAAGUGUAUCCAAAUUUUGCCUCAACUUCGUAUUCCAUUUAAAUUUACAUGUUUAUCACUACAACUUUCAAUUAUCUAGUAGUACGUUUUCAUGUUGACAUGUAUUUGAAUAUUUCAAUUGUCUGUUACUGAAAGUCGACAUUUUAAUGUAAGGUUGUCAUAUAUAUCCAAUAAUAUGAGUAUCCUUGGUACGAA